rnacentral:rRNA from 1 species
AGAACGAACGCUGGCGGCGUGCUUAACACAUGCAAGUCGAACGUGAUUCAGAGCUUGCUCUGAUGAAAGUGGCGCACGGGUGAGUAACGCGUGGAUAACCUGCCCUGGUAUCUGGGAUAACAUCUCGAAAGGGGUGCUAAUACCGGAUAAGCCUCCGGGAUCUUCGGAUUCUGCAGGAAAAGAGGCCUCUAUUUAUAAGCUUUCGAUCAGGAUGGGUCCGCGUACCAUUAGCUAAGUUGGUGGGUAAUGGCCUACCAAGGCGACGAUGGUUAGCUGGUCUGAGAGGAUGAUCAGCCACACUGGAACUGAGACGACGGUCCAGACUCCUACGGGAGGCAGCAGUGGGAAUUUGCGCAAGUGGGGAACCCUGACGCGAGCAACGCCGCGUGACGUGAUGAAGG